AUAAGAAUGAAUGCCAGAGGAAAAGGGCGAUCAUCCAAAACGUGGAGCUCCGCCCGUGGCUCGCCGUUAUUUCACGUCCUCGACACU
rnacentral:snoRNA from 1 species